rnacentral:lncRNA from 1 species
CGCGACUCUCGCGGGCCCUCGCGGUGGGGCCCAGCCCUCAGCGCCCAGGCCGCCGGGAAGCGAGGGAGGGAGGCUCCGCAGGGCGUGUGGAAAGUGGCUUUCUGCGUGGACCUGGAACCCCGCUCUUCUAGGCGGGGACCCUCGGGGUGUCCAGCGAGGCCGGCAGCCCGCGUCCCCUCUCCACCCGAGCCGCGGUCGGAAAGGCGUGAAACAGCACACUUCCGGCGGGCCCACGCUGCGUAAGGAAGUCCGCGAGCCCGGUCCUUUGCCGAGUCCGGGCUCCUGGAGAGGUCUGAUUGGGCCCGGCGGCGCACACCUGUAAUCCAGCAGCCGGGGCGGCUGAGGGCAGGGGGAUCGCCAAGGGUUCAAGACCAGCCUGAGCUACAUAGUGAGGUCCUGUCUCAGAACACCAAACAAACGAACAAAGAACCAAAGUUCAAGUCCAGCUUGGACAGCUUACUACUUACACAGAUAUGCUGGGCCCUCAUUCUACAGUCCUCCUCCUUGACACUUGUCAUCAGCAGGUGUCCCGAGGCCUGGCCAGCUUCCCCCUGCCCCACACUUGUGAUGAGUAAACACUGGACAUCCUGGGAGUCCUUUCUCUUUGCUGCCCGGAGCAGCUUGGAUCAGCCUGAGACUCAGUGUCUCUCAAGUCUCUGUCUGUGUGUUUAUUCUAAUUCCCACUUAGCUAUCUUGAGGUCAUUGGACUGGGUUGCAGGAGGCCAGUAGCACUGCAGGGCUAACCCGAUACACUUGGAUUAUUCCGGAUGAUCCACUGUCAAGAUGCCUACAUCUGCAAAGAACCCUUCGCUAAAUAAAUAAAGUCUCAUACAUUCUGGA